rnacentral:rRNA from 1 species
UGUGAACUGCAGGACACAUGAACAUCGACAUUUCGAACGCACAUUGCGGUCCUCGGAUUCUGUUCCCGGACCACUCCUGGCUGAGGGUCGUGUCAAUUUCAAAGACUGCUCGGCGACGAUACAGGUGUGUCAGUCAGUUUGUUCUCUGUGAACGAGCGGCGAUAUAAACACCAAUAUAUCGACGUGUCGGAGCGUGGUGGACGUUAUACGCAGGUCUUGUUUGAUCUGCGACGUCUUAAAACACGAAAGUGCCCAUUUAAUUGUUUGAUUAGCAAUUAUGGUUGGACGAUAACAGCGCGCAUGCACAUGAUUCAUUUAUUACCAAAAUAAAUGUUUACGUAUCAAGAAAGAGUACGUUGGUUGUAAAAUUAAGCGAUCGUCGUGUCCGAUACAUUUUUGACGACGUCAGAUCGCAUUUUUACUCGCGUACAUCAUCAUCAGAUAUGUUAAACGUAUGGUAAAAGCAAAAAUGAAAAAACGUAAAUUAUGCGCUGUCUAUUGAAAAGUAAAACGAUACUAUCGACCUCAGAGCAGGUGAGACUA